GAUGAACGCUGGCGGCGUGCCUAAUACAUGCAAGUCGAGCGAAGCGGGGACGGGUGAGUAACACGUGGACAACCUCCUAUAAGACUGGGACAACUUCGGGAAACCGGAGCUAAACCGGAUAAUUAUAGAUGGAUCAGCGCUGGAUUAGCUAGUUGUUAAGGUAACGGCUUACAAAGGCCACGAUGCCUGGCCGAACUGAGAGGGUGGUCGGCCACCCUGGAACUGAGCCACGGCCCAGACUCCUACGUGAGGCAGCAGUAUGGAAUCUUCCGCAUUGGGCGAAAGCCUUACGGAGCAACGCCGCGUGAGUGAUGAAGGUCUUCGGAUCGUAAAACUCUGUUAUUAGGGAAGCGGUACCUAAUCAGAAAGCCACGGAUAACUACGUGCCAGCCGCCGCGGUAAUUC
rnacentral:rRNA from 1 species